UACGUAGGGUGCAAGCGUUGUCCGGAAUCAUUGGGCGUAAAGAGCGUGUAGGCGGCCCGGUAAGUCCGCUGUGAAAGUCCAGGGCUCAACCCUGGGAUGCCGGUGGAUACUGUCGGGCUCGAGUCCGGAAGAGGAGUGUGGAAUUCCUGGUGUAGCGGUGAAAUGCGCAGAUAUCGGGAGGAACACCCGUAGCGAAGGCGGCACUCUGGGCCGAUAUUGACGCUGAGGAGCGAAAGCGUGGGGAGCGAACAGG
rnacentral:rRNA from 1 species